AACGAACGCUGGCGGCAUGCCUAACACAUGCAAGUCGAACGCUCGUAGCAAUACGGGAGUGGCAGACGGGUGCGUGACGCGUGGGAACCUGCCCAGAGGUUCGGAAUAACUGCGGGAAACUGCAGCUAAUACCGAAUGUUGCCUGUGGGCUAAAGGAGUAAUUCGCCUUUGGAGGGGCCCGCGUCCGAUUAGCUAGUUGGUGGGGUAAUGGCCUACCAAGGCGACGAUCGGUAGCUGGUCUGAGAGGAUGACCAGCCACACUGGAACUGAGACACGGUCCAGACUCCUACGGGAGGCAGCAGUAGGGAAUAUUGGUCAAUGGAUGCAAGUCUGAACCAGCCAUGCCGCGUGCAGGAAGAAGGCCUUCUGGGUUGUAAACUGCUUUUGCCAGGGGAUAAAAUUUCCAUGCGUGGAAAACUGAAAGUACCUGGUGAAUAAGCCACGGCUAACUACGUGCCAGCAGCCGCGGUAAU
rnacentral:rRNA from 1 species